rnacentral:rRNA from 1 species
GAUGAACGCUGGCGGCGUGCUUAACACAUGCAAGUCGAACGGGAAACAUUUUGUUGAAGCUUCGGCGGAUUUAGCUUGUUUCUAGUGGCGGACGGGUGAGUAACGCGUGGGUAACCUGCCUUAUACCGGGGGAUAACAGCCAGAAGUGGCUGCUAAUACCGCAUAAGCGCACGGAGCCGCAUGGCUCUGUGUGAAAAACUCCGGUGGUAUAAGAUGGACCCGCGUUGGAUUAGCUAGUUGGCAGGGCAGCGGCCUACCAAGGCGACGAUCCAUAGCCGGCCUGAGAGGGUGAACGGCCACAUUGGGACUGAGACACGGCCCAGACUCCUACGGGAGGCAGCAGUGGGGAAUAUUGCACAAUGGGGGAAACCCUGAUGCAGCGACGCCGCGUGAAGGAAGAAGUAUCUCGGUAUGUAAACUUCUAUCAGCAGGGAAGAUAAUGACGGUACCUGACUAAGAAGCCCCGGCUAACUACGUGCCAGCCGCCGCAGUAA